AGCCWWACMMMAUGCAAGUCGAACGGUAACAGGAAKMAGCUUGCUKMUUYGCUGACGAGUGGCGGACSGGUGAGUAAUGUCUGGGAAACUGCCUGAUGGAGGGGGAUAACUACUGGAAACGGUAGCUAAUACCGCAUAACGUCGCAAGACCAAAGAGGGGGACCYUCGGGCCUCUUGCCAUCGGAUGUGCCCAGAUGGGAUUAGCUWGUAGGUGGGGUAACGGCUCACCUAGGCGACGAUCCCUAGCUGGUCUGAGAGGAUGACCAGCCACACUGGAACUGAGACACGGUCCAGACUCCUACGGGAGGCAGCAGUGGGGAAUAUUGCACAAUGGGCGCAAGCCUGAUGCAGCCAUGCCGCGUGUAUGAAGAAGGCCUUCGGGUUGUAAAGUACUUUCAGCGGGGAGGAAGGGAGUAAAGUUAAUACCUUUGCUCAUUGACGUUACCCGCAGAAGAAGCACCGGCUAACUCCGUGCCAGCAGCCGCGGUAAUACGGAGGGUGCAAGCGUUAAUCGGAAUUACUGGGCGUAAAGCGCACGCAGGCGGUUUGUUAAGUCAGAUGUGAAAUCCCCGGGCUCAACCUGGGAACUGCAUCUGAUACUGGCAAGCUUGAGUCUCGUAGAGGGGGGUAGAAUUCCAGGUGUAGCGGUGAAAUGCGUAGAGAUCUGGAGGAAUACCGGUGGCGAAGGCGGCCCCCUGGACGAAGACUGACGCUCAGGUGCGAAAGCGUGGGGAGCAAACAGGAUUAGAUACCUGGWAGUCCACGCCGUAAACGAUGUCGACUUUGGAGGUUGUGCCCUUGAGGCGUGGCUUCCGGAGCUAMCGCGUUAAGUCGACCGCCUGGGGAGUAYCGGCCGCAAGGUUAMACUYCAAUGAMUUGACCGGGGMCCGMAMAARCGGUGGAGCAUGUGGUUUAAUUCGAUGCAACGCGAASAACCUUUACCUGGYUCUUGAMAUCCACAGAAAYUUUCARAGAUGGAWWKGGAUGCCUUCCSGGAAACUGWGAAGACAGGKGCUGGC
rnacentral:rRNA from 1 species